ensembl:snoRNA
CUGGCCCUGAAUCAAGGCCCUCGGUUUGCUGUAGCCGUUGGUUUCAAGCAGGAGCCCAGAGGAAAUGUCUCCCCUGUCUGUUGGUGCUCCCAUCCCAUGGAUCAGCCAAUUCGUGUGGGAGCAACAAAA